rnacentral:rRNA from 1 species
AUACGUAGGGGGCGAGCGUUGUCCGGAAUGAUUGGGCGUAAAGGGCGCGUAGGCGGCCCGGUAAGUCUGGAGUGAAAGUCCUGUUUUUAAGAUGGGAAUUGCUUUGGAUACUGUCGGGCUUGAGUGCAGGAGAGGUAAGUGGAAUGCCCAGUGUAGCGGUGAAAUGCGUAGAGAUUGGGAGGAACACCAGUGGCGAAGGCGACUUACUGGACUGUAACUGACGCUGAGGCGCGAAAGUGUGGGGAGCAAACAGGAUUAGAUACCCUGGUAGUCCACACUGUAAACGAUGAAUGCUAGGUGUAGGGGGUAUCGACCCCUUCUGUGCCGCAGUCAACACAAUAAGCAUUCCGCCUGCGGAGUACGGCCGCAAGGUUGAAACUCAAAGGAAUUGACGGGG